UUUUUUUUUUUUUUUUUUCACUUUGCAGAUUGAAAAAGUGAAGGGGCAUCUUUCCAGUCCCUGAAUUAUAUACUAGGUUAUUAAAUCACCCUCAUUUACCAGACCUAAUUUGAGAAAAUACCUAUUGAAAAAAUCACUUGGUGGACAGCACCAGCAGAUGACCUUAAACAAGGCUCCAGCAGUUCCCAGGAGGUUUUUCUACAAUCAGUUAAAACUACUUGUCAAGAUGUAAAUACAUGCCAGAAACGGAUGGUCUCAUCUAAGCACUGACUCCCUGCUGCUGCUGGUACCACCCCUUACCUGGGGUAACAUUGACUGGAAGGUUUUCCAAAAUUCUUUUGGAUAGCUAAGGGUCUAGCUUUCCAGGAUUAAAAAGGCAAGGAAGCCUAGCCUCUUACACCAUAAAAAAGCCCUUAUAAUUCCCUUUAUUCUACUCUCUGCAGAAUUCUCAGGGGAAUUCGAUGCACAACAUGGAAAGCAAAAUGAAACACAAAUUCAUUAUUUCUCUUUUGCCAGCUGCUUUUCCUUGCAAUGAAACUUCCUGUCAUGUUUCCAUCACAGAUGUGCUGUGAGACUGGCCUGCUGCAGCACUACUGCCCAGCUUGGCUUGCAUUUCUUUGGAAGAGAGUAGCACAGAGAAGGCAUAGUGAAAAUUGAGCUUUGUUGGAUUCUUUCCUGGAUAAAGGCAGGAGCUCCUAGCAAACCCCACUGUUUGUGGCCAGAAGAUUCCCCUAGCCAAAGAUGUGACACCAGGUCACUUGACACAGGGAGCUUAACAAAGGGAAAAAGCCCUCAGAGUUUACUCGUGCUCUUGGCUGAAAACUGGCUGCUAAAAACUGCACUGGAAUGAAAGGGCAUUGUGGUGUGGAAACUGAAAUCUCAUCAGAUGUUCCACUGGAAAACAGGAGCAGCUUCUCCAGGCACGAGGCAGCGCUGCUGCUCUUGGAGCGCCGGAGGCAGCGAGAGCCAAGGGGCUGGGCAGGCCCGCCCUGCUGAACAAGACUCACUUCUCUGGAUGCUGCUGAAACUUGCCACUGUUGGUGAAACCCUGGCUUUGACAUGAGCUUCAGGCAGAGGAGAUAGAUGUGGAGCAGGAGAGAUGACAGGGAAAAAGAGCACGGAGAGAGAUAGGAGGGGAAAGGGGCUGCCUUGUUCCCAAGCCCCAUCCCUCGUGAAAAGGCCCCUUCAGCCAGACCUAUCUGUCAGCCUCUGACUUGCCUUUCAACAUUAUGAUGCUCUUUGAUUUUAUUCAUUCCUGCUGGAGGUUUUGCUUAAACAUAAACAGCAGAGCAUUUCAGCCGGAAUUAAAAAAAUACAAAUAAAAGAAAUGAGAAAUUCCCCAAGCCUCCAGGCACAUUUUAAAACACAUUAAAAAGGAUACGACAGUACCAGCUUCAUACAUACCACAGCUGCAGUGACUCGCAGCAAAAGUAAGGAAGGUUGAAUGUGCUAGUGUUUUGUUUUAAAAUAUGGGCUUCACAUUCAGAGAGAUCUCUACAACACCAAAACCUGAAGGAGAGAGUGAGAAAUUCAGUGAUUCCCACCUUUUCCACCUUGAUAUUUCUGCUUUUCCAUAUGCAGGGCAGGCUGGACUGUGGGAGAGCAGAAGCUUUUGUGAGGUCCCCAGGACUCUGGGAAACACAGGCAGCUUUACACUAGGAUUUACAACCAGUAGGUAAAGAACAACUCCAAAGGUGUUUUAUUACUUGUGAUGAGGGACUAUCAAAGAAGCCACAGCCUACUUUGCCAACUGUUUGGUGUUACUCCUUUAGCUCUUAUUGGCAACCCUCUAGGCUAUUGCUCUAUUUUUCUUUCCCCCUCCCACUCGCUUAUCUUUCAUCUUCCAGUCUCCAAUAUUAACUCAAUUUCAUGUUGGAAAUUAAUCUGCACAAACGCUAAAGAAGUUCAGCUGCUAAAAAGAAAAAAUAGAAAAGAAAAAAGGCAGCAGCUCAAGUACCUGACACACAGAGGCCAGGAUGGUACUCCAGCACUUUAUCACAACACUGGUUGUGCAAACAGAAAAUGAGUUCUUGUAAAUGAGUCACCAGUAAAGGCAGAAAGCUUUUUUGCACAGAUUUUGACAUUCCUGUUUUCUGGUUUGAAACAUGGCCAAAGGAUGAACAUGGAUGAUUUUCCUUUGGUAAGCACAGGGCUUUAAUGACACGCCCCACCUUGUGAUUAACAGUAAUGUCUGGGUUUCUUGAUUCUUCUGACAUGAAGACCAAACAGUGUUGGAAACUGUGUAUAUUUACCAUAUCCUUCUGCUUUUAGCAGUUUUCAAAUACCGCCCCGAAUAGAAGUUCAGACUUGCACUGUGAUUGACACUUGUACAAUCACUGUGGGAGACAAAAGAUUAAGAAAUGUAAGCGAAUAUUGACUGACACUUGUUUGCCCUGUGUGAAAAUAAAGAAACCCAGGCCAGGGCAGUUAUGUGCUACAGCAUCAGUAGAGAUGGACUGGCUGCCUGUUUAACUAAAACAAAAAUGGGGAGAGAGAGGUGAUCUAUGCUACUAAUCUAUACUGGAGGAUUUAGAAGCAAAUAAAGCUCUAUUAAUCUUUCCAAGCUUGUACAUACAGAUGUUUUACUUUUUGUAACACUAUUUCAAGUUAAACCCAGAUAGUGUAAAUCAAGCUGUAAUGCUCACUAAAUAUACUUUCAAAAAAAGCAUUUAUUCCAUCCCUUCAGCAUUCCAAGCAGUUCAGCAGGGCAGAGCACCCACCCUGAGCAAGGAUUGCACAUGGCAUACUUGACUUUGGAGGGGAACACAGUUCCAGCAGUGGCUGUCUACAAAUGGCUCCUGCAGCCAAGACUGAGACUUCCAGACCAGGAGUCACUGGUGGAUGUAAAAUGCACCCAAUUUCUAAGCUGGCAACAGCUAUAAAUACUGGACCACUAAGGUACAUCUUUUUAGAACCAAAUACAAUUUUCCCCCUCUCAACAGAGAGUUACAAGGCAUUUUAGGAAUCAGAAUGGAAUCUUUAAAGUAUUAACCAUUUUUCUUCUUUUUUCUUCUCUUUGUAAAUUGUACCUUCACCAAGAAUUCUUUAUGUUUAUGAAACUGCCUAUUCAUCUUUUCUGUGGAUUACACUGUUUACAGUGACCAUUAAAUUCUACACAGACCACUAUGUAAAUGACCAGUUAAGCCUGGGUAAACAUCCACCUUGUUUUUCCAAUCCCACCAUUACUUUUGCAUUUACUCUUGUUUAUCUGCUGUCUUGCAAUGCCUUUUCUUGGCCUUACAACCACAUUAACUUGCUCCUGCAGUCCUUUCUAUGAGCAAAUUGUUUUAAAGAAAUACCUAUGUUUUUAUGUAAUAAAAUGUGAAAAAGCAAAACCCCGAAGAUGCAGUCCAGCGUAAAUCAUGAUGGAACACUGAUAAUAAACGAACCUUAUUCAUGCCAGAUAAAGCAACAAAUCCUAAUUUAACACACCAAAUAAUUUAUCCUUAGCCAGAAAGACACUCAGACAUUCAAACAGCCGUCUUUGUACAUAUGGAGAAGCUGCCAAGUCUCCAUACUUGAAUGAUCUCAUAGACUCUGGAAAAAAAAAAAAAAAAGAAAAACAAAACAUUUUACCAUACUAGCUGAAUACACAGAGGCAGAAAAGGACCAAAAUGAAAGCAUUUUAGUGGUCUGGGUCCUAGUACAAAUCUGCAGAGAAGUGUGGGGAAGAAAUAUGACCACAAAGUCACAGAGAAAAAACAGAUCUAAGCAAAACCUUCCCUAAGUUGUCUGGCCUGUAAUGGUGCUGUCUAUGAAGCAGUGAGGAAUAACCAUCCAUAAAUAUCCACUGUUGUUGUUCUGACCCCAAUUCACAUCAAGCUUAACUCAUACUUCUUUCUGAAACAAAGAAAAGAGGGACUAUUUACAAGAGCAUGGAGUGGCAGGACAAGGGGAAAUGCUUCACACUGAUAGAGGGCAGAUUUAGAUGGGAUAUUGGGAAGAAAUUCUUCCCUGUGAGGGUGGGGAGGCCCUGGCACAGGUUGUCCAGAGAACCUGUAGCUGCCCCAUCCCUGGAAAUGUUGGAUGGGGCUUGGAGCAACCUGGGAUAGUGGAAGGUGUCUCUGCCCAUAGCAGGGGGUUGAAAGGAGAUGAGUUCUAAGGUCCCUUUCAACACAAAUCCCGUUCUGGGAUUCUGUGAAAAGGUCUGAGCAAAUGAUGACCACUGUUGGAGAAGUUAAUGUGUAAAGGUUGUAAAGUUUUCCUCUGAAUCAUGGGGAAAAGGUGAUCAGUUUUCACCUACAAUGCCUUUUCCUUUUGGUGUGAGGAUUGCUGAGUUAGAAGGGUAAGGAGAAGAGGGCACAACAAGGAUACAAGCAAACAAGAGGACAUUGAUCCAUGUGCUGCUGCUUAGGAGAAAUAUCUGUGUGCAGCCCAGUUGGCUUGGGCUGAGGACUGAGCACAGAUAGUUAUUGAGCUCAGCCUGUUUCCCAGCUGUGUACACUGGACCUGAUCCUCCACUUGGGUAAAUUUCCAGCUCAAUUAGGCUGUGGAGAUGACAAUUUUACCAGCUGGAGACUGGCUGCAUUCGGGGUUUCCAGAACUGCUGUGGUGUCUUUUAUCCGGCAGCUGCACGUGUAAAACCAGCUCUGAGAGAUCACACGAGGUACACCUUACCCUGCUCAGGUGAGACACAGGCAACCACAAAUCUCAGGUGUAAACAGCAACUGAUCAGUCUGGAUUUCAGCUUUGUCAGUUGUUAGGUCAACAUGGACUGAAAUUCCAAAUGUGCCACAUACUCAAAAUCCCACUUGACAAGAGAGACUUAAACAAUCCAUGAUAGAACUGAAAAUUUGAAUUUUCUUGAAGAUUUACAUCCUAUUAUCUACCUAUAACUGAGUAUCACCCUAUACUGCUGUUCAUAAAUGAGGAAAGUGACCUCAGAUAGGAGACCCAACACUGUCUCAGCAUCUUUCACCCCACCUCAGCCUCUCCAGGCUGCUGCCACCAGCGAGGCCUCCUGGAUUCCAUGACAUUCACCCCAAAGUGGGAUGGCACCGUCAGGGCUGUGUUUGGUGUGUCUGAGCGUGCAGGGCACAAGCCCAGCUCUGUGUCUGUGUGGGAUGGAGCAGCCCAGCCCAGCCCAGCGGCCAUCCCACCCCACCACACACCUGCAGAGACUCCACACUCAGCCCACAGCUCUGGAAUCUCUCUCCCCAGCCCUCUCUGCAUAAAUCAAGCAGCAGGGAGGCUCAGAAACAUGACGAAUACGUUGGCUAGAAUAUCUCCUGCUGUAAAGACACAGGAGGAAGGGGGAUACUAAACUAACCUUGCCUUGGAUGGAAAAGCAGCUGGAAUUUAAUGUUCUUGGAAGCCAGCCCUGGCUGUUCAGACAUGGAUCUGCCAGGGAAGUCCCCAGCGGAGGCAUCACUCAUUCUCCAAAACUAAAACGUCAAGAGAAAGCCCUGGAAAUCAUUAAGCACUCUAUUCAACAUUUCUUGAACAAUCUCAGGCACGGGAGGGGGAAAAAAAAAUCUCAACCAGACAAAUUCUCAGUGUUAAUAUAAAACAGAGGGGGGAUCACCAGCAAUCUGAAGUGGAAUUUUGCUUAAUUGUGUCAAUCUGAAAUGAUUACAACAUUAAACCACCUCAAAAAAAAAAAAAAAAAGAAAAAAAGACAAGAAGGAAAAGAGCAGGAAGAAAGCUAGGAAAAGUUAACGAACAGAAGUGUGUUUGGCCUGGGCUUUCAGAGUCUUCUCCAUCACAGCCUACCCUGUGCAACUGCCCAGCAGCACCCCCCACACGUGGCAAACUGUGCUCGGCCACCAGGAACUCCCUGUGGGACAGAAAUGGUGCUCAAACAGAAGGCAAAGAGAAAACCUUCCCUGGAGAAGAGCUAGCAGAUCCCACAGAAGCUGUGCCUCACUGGCACUGGCCCCACUUGGAAGUACGUCACUGCUUUUUCCUAGGGUUCAAAUUAAAAAGAAAGGAGGUAAUUUUGCCAUCUGUCACAGAAGCACAGCUCUAGAAAAAGCGUGUGUGAGUUUUAAUCCUACACAAUUCAGACACACACCCCAAGUGGCUUCUAUGAAAAUACAUUUCUGGAGUUUGCUCUUUCCAGCCCUUCCAGGGUGAGGGAAGAUUUUCUCCCAGAUGUCCUGCUUCUCCAAACACUUUGCUAGUGAGGUGCCUCCUAAAUCACUGACACAGAAUCAGUGUGGAAAUACACACACAGCCACCACCACCUUCCACUAGAAACACAAAUGAUUAAGUCAUGCCACUGAAAGAACUAAAAACCCAUUUUGUAGGAAGAGAAGAAAACUUGGUAAGCAGCAGGUUGAACUGGAUAGGGUUUUUUGUUUGAUGUUGUC
ensembl:lncRNA